GUGGGGAAUCUUGCGCAAUGGAGGCAACUCUGACGCAGCCAUGCCGCGUGCAGGAAGAAGGCGCUACGCGUUGUAAACUGCUUUUAACCGGGAAGAAACCCCAGGACGUGUCCUGGGUUGACGGUACCGGAGGAAUAAGCACCGGCUAACUUCGUGCCAGCAGCCGCGGUAAUACGAAGGGUGCAAGCGUUAUCCGGAUUCAUUGGGUUUAAAGGGUGCGUAGGCGGAGCGUUAAGUCAGUGGUGAAAUCCUGCAGCUUAACUGUAGACUUGCCAUUGAUACUGGCGCUCUUGAGUGCGCUUGAAGUGGGCGGAAUGUGCCGUGUAGCGGUGAAAUGCUUAGAUAUGGCACAGAACACCAAUUGCGAAGGCAGCUCACUAAGGCGAUACUGACGCUGAGGCACGAAAGCGUGGGGAUCGAACAGGAUUAGAUACCCGGGUAGUCC
rnacentral:rRNA from 1 species